rnacentral:rRNA from 1 species
UACCAAGGAUUCCCUCAGUACCGGCGAGUGAAGCGGGAAGAGCUCAAAUUUAAAAUCUGGUUUGCUUGCAAGCCCGAGUUGUAGUCUGAAGAAACGUUUUCCAUAAGCACUGAGGCAAAAGUCCCUUGGAACAGGGCAUCAUAGAGGGUGAGAAUCCCGUCCAUGGUCUCAAGUUGUUUAUUUUGUGAUACGUUUUCAAAGAGUCAGGUUGUUUGGGAAUGCAGCCUAAAAUGGGUGGUAAAUUUCAUCUAAAGCUAAAUAUUGGCGAGAGACCGAUAGCGAACAAGUACCGUGAGGGAAAGAUGAAAAGAACUUUGAAAAGAGAGUUAAACAGUACGUGAAAUUGUUGAAAGGGAACCGUUUGAAGCCAGUCUUACUUGCCUGUGAUCAAUUUUUGCUUCGGCAUGAAUGCACUCUCGGGUAUGGUAGGCCAACGACAGUUUGGAAUGCGAGAAAAAAAUAGAGGAAAUGUGGCCUUCGGGUGUUAUAGUCCUUUGUAAAAUAUCGUGUUCUGGACUGAGGAUCGCAGCAAAAAUGUGGGCAGGUGGAUUUCUGUGGUAACUGUCGGUUAGGACAACUUGUUGACCUAGUCUUCCUUAGCCUCACUAUUUACCUUGCUUCUAAUUUGCUUAGGUCGUUGGCAUAAUGGCUUUAAAUGACCCGUCUUG